GAUGAACGCUGGCGGCGUGCCUAAUACAUGCAAGUCGAGCGAACGGACGAGAAGCUUGCUUCUCUGAUGUUAGCGGCGGACGGGUGAGUAACACGUGGAUAACCUACCUAUAAGACUGGGAUAACUUCGGGAAACCGGAGCUAAUACCGGAUAAUAUUUUGAACCGCAUGGUUCAAAAGUGAAAGACGGUCUUGCUGUCACUUAUAGAUGGAUCCGCGCUGCAUUAGCUAGUUGGUAAGGUAACGGCUUACCAAGGCAACGAUGCAUAGCCGACCUGAGAGGGUGAUCGGCCACACUGGAACUGAGACACGGUCCAGACUCCGACGGGAGGCAGCAGUAGGGAAUCUUCCGCAAGGGGCGAAAGCCUGACGGAGCAACGCCGCGUGAGUGAUGAAGGUCUUCGGAUCGUAAAACUCUGUUAUUAGGGGAGAACAAAUGUGUAAGUAACUGUGCACAUCUUGACGGUACCUAAUCAGAAAGCCACGGCUAACUACGUG
rnacentral:rRNA from 1 species